AAGAUUGUGGGGUAGGGGAGCGUUCUGUAAGCCGUUGAAGGUGUGUUGUAAAGCAUGCUGGAGGUAUCAGAAGUGCGAAUGCUGACAUGAGUAACGAUAAUGGGGGUGAAAAACCCCCACGCCGGAAGACCAAGGGUUCCUGUCCAACGUUAAUCGGGGCAGGGUAAGUCGACCCCUAAGGCGAGGCUGAAAAGCGUAGUCGAUGGGAAACGGGUUAAUAUUCCCGUACUGCUUAUAAUUGCGAUGGGGGGACGGAGAAGGCUAGGUGGGCCUGGCGACGGUUGUCCAGGUUCAAGUGCGUAGGCUAAGAGACUAGGUAAAUCCGGUUUCUUGUUAGGCUGAGACACGACGUCGAGCUACUACGGUAGUGAAGUCAUUGAUGCCAUGCUUCCAGGAAAAGCCUCUAAGCUUCAGAUUAUAAGCAAUCGUACCCCAAACCGACACAGGUGGUCGGGUAGAGAAUACCAAGGCGCUUGAGAGAACUCGGGUGAAGGAACUAGGCAAAAUGGUACCGUAACUUCGGGAGAAGGUACGCUCUUGGCGGUGAAGUCCCUAGCGGAUGGAGCUACUGAGAGUCGCAGAUACCAGGUGGCUGCAACUGUUUAUUAAAAACACAGCACUGUGCAAAAUCGUAAGAUGACGUAUACGGUGUGACGCCUGCCCGGUGCCGGAAGGUUAAUUGAUGGGGUUAGACUUCGGUCGAAGCUCUUGAUCGAAGCCCCGGUAAACGGCGGCCGUAACUAUAACGGUCCUAAGGUAGCGAAAUUCCUUGUCGGGUAAGUUCCGACCUGCACGAAUGGCGUAAUGAUGGCCACGCUGUCUCCACCCGAGACUCAGUGAAAUUGAAAUCGCUGUGAAGAUGCAGUGUACCCGCGGCUAGACGGAAAGACCCCGUGAACCUUUACUACAGCUUGGCACUGAACAUUGAACCUACAUGUGUAGGAUAGGUGGGAGACUUAGAAGCGCAGUCGCUAGAUUGCGUGGAGUCGUCCUUGAAAUACCACCCUUGUAGUUUUGAUGUUCUAACGUUGGCCCCUAAUCGGGGUUGCGGACAGUGCCUGGUGGGUAGUUUGACUGGGGCGGUCUCCUCCCAAAGAGUAACGGAGGAGCACGAAGGUGGGCUAAACACGGUUGGACAUCGUGUGGUUAGUGCAAUGGCAUAAGCCCGCUUAACUGCGAGAAUGACAAUUCGAGCAGGUACGAAAGUAGGUCAUAGUGAUCCGGUGGUUCUGAAUGGAAGGGCCAUCGCUCAACGGAUAAAAGGUACUCCGGGGAUAACAGGCUGAUACCGCCCAAGAGUUCAUAUCGACGGCGGUGUUUGGCACCUCGAUGUCGGCUCAUCACAUCCUGGGGCUGAAGUCGGUCCCAAGGGUAUGGCUGUUCGCCAUUUAAAGUGGUACGCGAGCUGGGUUUAGAACGUCGUGAGACAGUUCGGUCCCUAUCUGCCGUGGGCGUUGGAAGAUUGAAGGGGGCUGCUCCUAGUACGAGAGGACCGGAGUGGACGAACCUCUGGUGUUCGGGUUGUUACGCCAGUAGCAUUGCCCGGUAGCUAAGUUCGGAAUCGAUAACCGCUGAAAGCAUCUAAGCGGGAAGCGAGCCCUGAGAUGAGUCUUCCCUGGCACUUUAAGUGUCCUAAAGGGUUGUUCGAGACUAGAACGUUGAUAGGUUGGGUGUGUAAGCGCUGCGAGGCGUUGAGCUAACCAAUACUAAUUGCCCGUGAGGCUUAACCAU
rnacentral:rRNA from 1 species